rnacentral:rRNA from 1 species
GAUGAACGCUGGCGGCGUGCCUAAUACAUGCAAGUCGAGCGAACAGAUGAGGAGCUUGCUCCUCUGACGUUAGCGGCGGACGGGUGAGUAACACGUGGAUUACCUACCUAUAAGACUGGGAUAACUUCGGGAAACCGGAGCUAAUACCGGAUAAUAUAUUGAACCGCAUGGUUCAAUAGUGAAAGACGGUUUUGCUGUCACUUAUAGAUGGAUCCGCGCCGCAUUAGCUAGUUGGUAAGGUAACGGCUUACCAAGGCAACGAUGCGUAGCCGACCUGAGAGGGUGAUCGGCCACACUGGAACUGAGACACGGUCCAGACUCCUACGGGAGGCAGCAGUAGGGAAUCUUCCGCAAUGGGCGAAAGCCUGACGGAGCAACGCCGCGUGAGUGAUGAAGGUCUUCGGAUCGUAAAACUCUGUUAUUAGGGAAGAACAAAUGUGUAAGUAACUAUGCACGUCUUGACGGUACCUAAUCAGAAAGCCACGGCUAACUACGUG